rnacentral:rRNA from 1 species
UACGUAGGGUGCGAGCGUUAAUCGGAAUUACUGGGCGUAAAGCGUGCGCAGGCGGUUCGUUGUGUCGGCGGUGAAAGCCCCGGGCUUAACCCUGGGAAUGGCCGUUGAAACUGGCGAACUGGAGUGUGGCAGAGGGGGUGGAAUUCCGCGUGUAGCAGUGAAAUGCGUAGAGAUGCGGAGGAACACCGAUGGCGAAGGCAGCCCCCUGGGCUAACACUGACGCUCAGGCACGAAAGCGUGGGGAGCAAACAGG